rnacentral:rRNA from 1 species
UACGUAGGGUGCAAGCGUUAAUCGGAAUUACUGGGCGUAAAGCGUGCGCAGGCGGUUAUGUAAGACAGAUGUGAAAUGCCCGGGCUUAACCUGGGAACUGCAUUUGUGACUGCAUGGCUAGAAUCUGGCAGAGGGGGGUAGAAUUCCACGUGUAGCAGUGAAAUGCGUAGAUAUGUGGAGGAACACCGAUGGCGAAGGUAGCCCCCUGGGUCAAGAUUGACGCUCGAUGCACGAAAAGCCGUGGGGAGCAAACAGG